ensembl:lncRNA
UUAACAUCAUUUAUUAACAUUUAUUAUGUGGGAAUGAGACCUUUUUCAUAAGUACAUGGCACUAUAUACAUUCCAGAGGAAGGACCACUGUCUACACAUGGUGUCAGGGGAGGGGUAGGGAGACAGGACACAGUCAGGAGGGGUAGGGGAGACAGGACACCGUCAGGAGGGGUAGGGGAGACAGGACACAGUCAGGAGGGGUAGGGGGACACAGACACAGUCAGGAGGGGUAGGGAGACAGGACACAGUCAGGAGGGGUAGGGGAGACAGGACACAGUCAGGAGGGGUAGGGGGACACAGAGGGGUAGGGAGACAGGACACAGUCAGGAGGGGUAGGGGGACACGGAGGGGUAGGGAGACAGGACACAGUCAGGAGGGGUAGGGAGACAGGACACCGUCAGCGGGGUAGGGGAGACAAGAC